ensembl:snRNA U6 U6 spliceosomal RNA
CUGCUUGCUGGGGCAGCACAUAUACUAAAACUGGAACAGUACAGAGAUUAACAUGGCCCCUGAACAAGGACAACAUGCGAUUCAUGAAAUGCUUCAUAGUUAU